rnacentral:rRNA from 1 species
GAUCUGGCUGGGUGGUCUGCCUUCUUGGUAUGUACUGUCCGGCUGGAUCUUACCUCUUGGUGAGCCGGCAUGCCCUUCACUGGGUGUGUCGGGGAACCAGGACUUUUACCUUGAGAAAAUUAGAGUGUUCAAAGCAGGCUUAUGCCCGAAUACAUUAGCAUGGAAUAAUAAAAUAGGACG